rnacentral:tRNA from 1 species
GCCGCCUUAGCUCAGUCGGUUAGAGCGCUUGAUUGUGGAUCAAGAGGUCCCCCGUUCGAACCGGGGAGGCGGUA